UACGUAGGGGGCAAGCGUUGUCCGGAAUCAUUGGGCGUAAAGAGCGCGCAGGCGGUCGUUCAAGUCGAGUGUGAAAGCCCCCGGCUCAACUGGGGAGGGUCAUUCGAUACUGAUCGACUGGAAGGCAGGAGAGGGAAGCGGAAUUCCCGGUGUAGCGGUGAAAUGCGCAGAUAUCGGGAGGAACACCAAUGGCGAAGGCAGCUUGCUGGGACGGUACUGACGCUGAGACGCGAAAGCGUGGGGAGCAAACAGG
rnacentral:rRNA from 1 species